rnacentral:rRNA from 1 species
GCCUAAAGCGUCCGUAGCCGGCUCUGUAAGUUUUCGGUUAAAUCCAUAUGCUCAACAUAUGGGCCGCCGGGAAUACUGCAUAGCUAGGGAGUGGGAGAGGUAGACGGUACUCCGUAGGAAGGGGUAAAAUCCUUUGAUCUAUGGAUGACCACCUGUGGCGAAGGCGGUCUACCAGAACACGUUCGACGGUGAGGGAUGAAAGCUGGGGGAGCAAACCGGAUUAGAUACCCGGGUAGUCCCAGCUGUAAACUAUGCAAACUCAGUGAUGCAUUGGCUUGUGGCCAGUGCAGUGCCGCAGAGAAGUCGUUAAGUUUGCCGCCUGGGAAGUACGUACGCAAGUAUGAAACUUAAAGGAAUUGGCGGGGGAGCACCACAAGGGGUGAAGCCUGCGGUUCAAUUGGAGUCAACGCCAGAAAUCUUACCCGGAGAGACAGCAGGAUGAAGGUCAAGUUGAAGCCUUUACCAGACAAGCUGAGAAGUGGUGCAUGGCCGUCGCCAGCUCGUGCCGUGAGGUGUCCUGUUAAGUCAGGUAACGAGCGAGAUCCUUGCCUCUAGUUGCCACCAUUACUCUCAGGAGUAGUGGGGCGAAUUAGCGGGACUGCCGUAGUUAAUACGGAGGAAGGAGAGGGCCACGGCAGGUCAGUAUGCCCCGAA